UACGGAGGGUGCAAGCGUUAUCCGGAUUCACUGGGUUUGAAGGGUGCGUAGGUGGGUCUGUAAGUCCGUGGUGAAAUCUCCGAGCUUAACUUGGAAACUGCCAUGGAUACUAUAGGUCUUGAAUACUGUGGAGGUCAGCGGAAUAUGUCAUGUAGCGGUGAAAUGCUUAGAUAUGACAUAGAACACCAAUUGCGAAGGCAGCUGGCUACACAAAUAUUGACACUGAUGCACGAAAGCGUGGGGAUCAAACAGG
rnacentral:rRNA from 1 species